AGUUAAUUCAUUAUCAAUUGUGUAGAUCAGAAGAAUCAGCUUUUUAUAUUUAAUUCAAUUUUUAUACAAAAAACGCAUUUCAGCACUACCAGACUACUUUUCCUACUACCUUUUCACAAAAGCGGAUAAAAUGGUUACCCGCCUUCUCUUUCCUUCUCAAAUACAACCUUACAAGGUAUUCGAUUGACACAAAUGUCAAUAUUUAUCCAACCUUGUAUUUUUGAAUCAUGUUUCAGCACUACCAGACUACUUUUCCAAAUACCUUUUCACAAAAGGGGAUAAAAUGGUUACACGCCUUCUCUUUUCUUCUCAAAUGCAACCUUACAAGGCAGUCGAUUGCACAAAUGUCAAAAUUUAUCCAACCUCUUAUUAUUGAAUCAAGGUUUUGAUGACAGUAUACAUACUGUGAAGAAAUGUCACUGCGAAAAUUUGGAAGAUUGCAAAACAUCAGCGACUUAGCCACAUUCUGAAGCACCUUCAGCACCUUCAACGCCAUCAGCACCUUGGACGCCAAAAGCGCCUUUGAAGCCACCAGCACCUUCAAAGUCAUCACCACCUUAACCGGCGCCAAUAAUGGAAUAUUGCAGCUAUAUUGUUCGGUGAGUUUUAUUGAUUAAAUACUAAAAAAACCGGUUUCUCCUGUAAGCAAUAAAAGUGCAAUGGAAUGCCAGCCUUGGGAGUUAUGAUCAAAAAUACUGAGGCGCCUGAUCUAGUUUAGCCUAGUCAAAACUAGUUUGUCCUAAGAUCGGGUUUGGCCGGUAACAUAUAUAAACAACAAAAUAAAGCUUAGGGUAAAUAUUAAAGAGUGCAGUAAAAUGCAACUACCUAAAUGUGUACAUAUAUAAGUAAAAAGAAGUGCAGUGGAAAUAUAUAUGUAUGUAUAUAUAUGUAAGUUAAGGACUGAAGGUCCUGAAUAACUUAAAUAAUUAAAGGGCCAACUUGCCCUGGAAUUGAAAAAGAUAAUUUGAACGUCAUAAUAGAAGCACUUUGUUGACAUAAAUAAAUAGGCCUAAUUUACAGUAGUAACACCCCGAUGCAACUGCCGCUGCUUCGAGUUCUGCCGCCCUUUAUAGCCUGUUCCGCAGCCGCUGUUCUACAGCCAGACAUACGCGACGUCAGUGAGCCGCCUUGGCCUUGAAUUCCCACAGGUAACCGUGUGAAAUGAGAUUAUGCUGACACCGCUACAAUGCCUAAUGCAUUGGCUCCGUUAUACUAAUGGUUGCGUAAGCAUUAGCCAGAGGUAUAACUGUGGCCGACGGUUCCCAUAAGUGUGUGAUAGCGUUGCGCAAUAUUGCUAUUGCAUGAUAUGGUGAAAUGCACUUGGCCUUGACAAAGGUGUAGGAUGUCAAUUAUGUUGUGAACCAUAAUUAUGCUGACAUGGCGCACGUGUAUUGCUAGACUGUGGGAAUGCCACAUGUUGGGUGACGGCGGAUGUGUUAACUCCUCCCCCUUUAAAGAUCUGCGUCCCGCAGAUCAGAUAGACGUUCCUCGGUUUUUGAAUUAGCCUUGUUGUCAAUGUUCAAUGGAGGUAGGUGUAACCUCGCCGUCUCAUUGUCCAUCUGGAGGAUAUAAGAACCAUUAAGUGUAUUUGAAUUGUUACCUAAUUUUACAAUCCCUAUAAAAUUGUCAAGGAAAAUGGUAUCAUCCUUGAUGAUGUCAACAGUGGAAUCGUUACAGGUCGCGUAAGUACAACUUAUUUGUCCUCCCUUGAGAAGACGAGUCAGGUAACUAGAUUCUGGUAGCAGAUCGAGUGAUUUCCCUUCGCAGAUCAUGGUAGAUCAUGAUGUUUAUUGGUCAGGAUUGUUUGAUAUGCCAAUUCCACUCGGGCUCAGGUGAUUAAAUGUAGUUUAUGUGACCUUUGGUGGGGACAACGUAUAAGAGGAGUGUGUUGUUGUCGAUCGAUGGUUUGCUAUAUUCAAUGGCUUCGAUGGCGUUGCUGUAUGGAGGAGCGCCGAUCUCA